rnacentral:tRNA from 2 species
GGUGCCUUAGCUCAGCUGGUAGAGCAAUGGAUUGAAAAUCCAUGUGUCCCCAGUUCGAUUCUGGGAGGCACCA